AGACGUAGGGGGCGAGCGUUGUCCGGAAUUACUGGGCGUAAAGAGCACGUAGGCGGAUAUUUAAGUCAGUUGUGAAAGACCGCGGCUCAACCGCGGGGUUGCAAUUGAAACUGGGUAUCUUGAGGGCAGGAGAGGUCAGUGGAAUUCCUGGUGUAGCGGUGAAAUGCGUAGAAAUCAGGAGGAACACCAGUGGCGAAGGCGGCUGACUGGACUGGCCCUGACGCUGAGGUGCGAAAGCGUGGGUAGCAAACAGGAUUAGAUACCCUGGUAGUCCACGCCGUAAACGAUGGAUACUAGGUGUGGGAGGUAUCGACCCCUUCCGUGCCGCAGCUAACGCAAUAAGUAUCCCGCCUGGGGAGUACGGUCGCAAGGCUGAA
rnacentral:rRNA from 1 species